CCCCUCUCUCUCUUUAUCUCUCGCAUUUAGCGCCACAGCGCGUGGAUUUACAGCGAUUAUUUGUGUUGCUGGCGACUUUGUAUUUCAUAUCGGAAUCGCCUUCAGUGCUGUUGCUGCUGACGGCGACCGUUCCGAACAAAGACGAAACAUUUAUUUGAUUUGACCCAACCCCGGCGCACUGAGCUGGGCGGAUGGGUGCGGUUUGGGGUGUCUGAGGCUGCUGCUUCGGGUUCAAUACCGGAACCGGGUCACGAACACGCACCCACUCGCUCACGGACACCCCACACGCACACCCAUGCACGCACUGACACACACACUCACACAUACACUCACGCACACACUCACACACACACUCACGGACACACUCACACACACAUACACUCACACACACGCACACUCACGAACACCCCACCAACUCGCUCACGGACACCCUACACGCACACUCACGCACGCACUCACACACACACUCACAGACACACUCACACACACGCACACUCACGCACGCACUAACACGUACACUCACACUCACGGACACACCACACGCACACUCACGCACCCACUAACACAUACACUCACACUCACGGACACACCACACACUCACACACACACUCACGCACACACACACUCACACACCACACACUCACACAUCCACUCACGCACACACACUCACGCACACACACUCACGCACACGCACACCUCACACACACACUCACGCACACACACGCGCGUGCGGAGAGAGGAGAGAGCGGCGGGAGUCGGCGCUGCCUCCCCAUCAUGCGUGCCCACUCCACGUUCCCAUGCCCGGAGCUGUUCGAUAUCUACACGAUCGCACCAGGUACUCAUUUGAGGCUGAGUCGACCUAAGGGGCAGGACCGGUACCGGUUCAGAUAGUCGUCACUGGUGUUGGUGGCCGUGAGCGGAGAAUCGAAGUCACGUGGCCGGGUUAGUAGUGGAGUGCUCGCGCAAACAGACACGCACGCACAAAUAUUACACGUAAUCUAUUUAUAUUUGGCAACGUGUUUCCCAUGUUUGGGUUAUUCCUAAAAUUCGGAAUACUUUGGCCAAAUUAUUCACUGUGUCUAUCCAAAUGUACGAAGUCUGUAAACCCGUAACCGAUUUCCCUCUCCCCGAAAAUAUCUCCCUCCGUUCGGAAUUGAUACCGAAAGAUGACGUCACAGGAAGUCACCUGACUUAAAAUGGCGUCGUGCGCGUGG